rnacentral:rRNA from 1 species
CAGUCGCCACGGGAAUACGAAGGGUGCAAGCGUUACUCGGAAUUACUGGGCGUAAAGCGUGCGUAGGUGGUGGUUUAAGUCCGUUGUGAAAGCCCUGGGCUCAACCUGGGAAUUGCAGUGGAUACUGGGUCACUAGAGUGUGGUAGAGGAUAGUGGAAUUUCCGGUGUAGCAGUGAAAUGCGUAGAGAUCGGAAGGAACAUCUGUGGCGAAGGCGACUAUCUGGGCCAACACUGACACUGAGGCACGAAAGCGUGGGGAGCAAACAGGAUUAGAGACCCCCGUAGUCCCUGUCUCUUAUAC